rnacentral:rRNA from 1 species
AUUGAACGCUGGCGGCAGGCCUAACACAUGCAAGUCGAGCGGCAGCGGGGGGAAGCUUGCUUCCCCGCCGGCGAGCGGCGGACGGGUGAGUAAUGUCUGGGAGACUGCCUGAUGGAGGGGGAUAACUACUGGAAACGGUAGCUAAUACCGCAUAACGUCUUCGGACCAAAGUGGGGGACCUUCGGGCCUCAUGCCAUCAGAUGUGCCCAGAUGGGAUUAGCUUGUUGGUGGGGUAACGGCUCACCAAGGCGACGAUCCCUAGCUGGUCUGAGAGGCUGACCAGCCACACGGGAACCGAGACACGGUCCAGACUCCUACGGGAGGCAGCAGUGGGGAAUAUUGCGCAAUGGGCGCAAGCCUGAUGCAGCCAUGCCGCGUGUAUGAAGAAGGCCUUCGGGUUGUAAAGUACUUUCAGCGGGGAGGAAGGUGUUGUGGUUAAUAACCACAGCGAUUGACGUUACCCGCAGAAGAAGCACCGGCUAACUCCGUGCCAGCCGCCGCGGUAAAAC